CCUAUCAAUCUACUUGAUCGCAUUGGGGAAUGGGGGUUACCAACCGAACAUUGCAACGUUUGGAGCUGAUCAGUUCGAUGAAGAGCAUCCUAAAGAAGGGUACUCAAAGAUCGCCUUCUUCAGCUACUUCUACCUUGCUUUAAACCUCGGCUCGCUCUUUUCCAACACAAUCUUGGGAUAUUUUGAAGACGAGGGGAUGUGGGCACUCGGGUUUUGGGCGUCUACUGGCUCUGCCAUCUUGGCUUUGAUUCUUUUCCUUGUUGGAACUCCGAGAUACCGAAACUUCAAGCCCGGCGGUUACCAACCGAACAUUGCAACGUUUGGAGCUGAUCAGUUCGACGAGGAGCAUCCUAAAGAAGGGUACUCAAAGAUCGCCUUCUUCAGCUACUUCUACCUUGCUUUAAACCUCGGCUCGCUCUUUUCGAACACAAUCUUGGGAUAUUUUGAAGACGAGGGGAUGUGGGCACUCGGGUUUUGGGCGUCUACUGGCUCUGCCAUCUUGGCUUUGAUUCUUUUCCUUGUUGGAACUCCGAGAUACCGAAACUUCAAGCCUACAGGGAACCCUCUUUCGAGGUUUUGCCAAGUUUUGGUGGCUGCAACGAAGAAAUCAUCUAUGGAGGCACCUUCCAGAGGGAGGGAGGAGAUGUAUGAUGA
rnacentral:lncRNA from 1 species